rnacentral:rRNA from 1 species
CAGUAGCGGCGAGUGAAGCGGCAAAAGCUCAAAUUUGAAAUCUGGCGUCUUUGGCGUCCGAGUUGUAAUUUGAAGAAGGUAUCUUUGGGCCCGGCUCUUGUCUAUGUUCCUUGGAACAGGACGUCACAGAGGGUGAGAAUCCCGUGCGAUGAGAUGGCCCGGGUCUAUGUAAAGUUCCUUCGACGAGUCGAGUUGUUUGGGAAUGCAGCUCUAAGUGGGUGGUAAAUUCCAUCUAAAGCUAAAUAUUGGCGAGAGACCGAUAGCGAACAAGUACAGUGAUGGAAAGAUGAAAAGAACUUUGAAAAGAGAGUGAAAAAGUACGUGAAAUUGUUGAAAGGGAAGGGCUUGAGAUCAGACUUGGUAUUUUGCAAGUUACUCUUUCGGGGGUGGCCUCUGCGGUUUACCGGGCCAGCAUCGGUUUGGAGCGGUAGGAUAAUGGCGGGGGAAUGUGGCACGACUUUGGUUGUGUGUUAUAGCCUCUGACGAUACUGCCAGCCUAGACCGAGGACUGCGGUUUUUACCUAGGAUGUUGGCAUAAUGAUCUUAAGUCGCCCGUCUU